GGAAUUACUGGGCGUAAAGCGCGCGUAGGUGGUUUAUUAAGUUGGAUGUGAAAUCCCCGGGCUCAACCUGGGAACUGCAUCCAAAACUGAUUCACUAGAGUACGAUAGAGGGAGGUAGAAUUCACAGUGUAGCGGUGGAAUGCGUAGAUAUUGUGAAGAAUACCAAUGGCGAAGGCAGCCUCCUGGAUCUGUACUGACACUGAGGUGCGAAAGCGUGGGUAGCGAACAGGAUUAGAUACCCUGGUAGUCCACGCCGUAAACGAUGUCAACUAGCUGUUGGAAAACUAUGUUUUUCAGUGGCGCAGCUAACGUAGUAAGUUGACCGCCUGGGGAGUACGGCCGCAAGGCUAAAACUCAAAUGAAUUGACGGGGACCCGCACAAGCGGUGGAGCAUGUGGUUUAAUUCGAUGCAACGCGAAAAACCUUACCUAUACUUGACAUACUUGGAAUGCUUUGUAAUGAAGCAGUGCCUUCGGGAGCCAAGAUACAGGUGCUGCAUGGCUGUCGUCAGCUCGUGUCGUGAGAUGUUCCGUUAAGUCGGAUAACGAGCGCAACCCUUACCCUUAUUUGCCAGCGAUUCGGUCGGGAACUAUAAGGGGACUGCCGGUGAUAAACCGGAGGAAGGUGAGGACGACGUCAAGUCAUCAUGGCCCUUACGUAUAGGGCUACACACGUGCUACAAUGGAGAAUACAGACGGACGCUAAGCCGCGAGGUGGUGCUAAUCCUAGAAAAUUCUUCGUAGUCCGGAUUGGAGUCUGCAACUCGACUCCAUGAAGUCGGAAUCGCUAGUAAUCGCGAAUCAGCAUGUCGCGGUGAAUACGUUCUCGGGUCUUGUACACACCGCCCGUCAUACCAUGGAAGUGGAUUGCACCAGAAGUAGAUAGUCUAACCUUCGGGAGGGCG
rnacentral:rRNA from 1 species